AUAUGGGCUUUAUCAUGAGGAUGGCAUCUCCCUCUCGCCUUCCUGACGGCCAGAGAAGCUCGGAGUCAAGCACCCCACUCCUCUGCAGAGACAGACGGGCACAUGCGGGUGUCGGUGGGUCUUGUUUCUCUUGAGUGCAGCGGAGAAGUCCGGAGGGGAAUCCAGCACCUCGCAGUGAUGGCACAGCACAAAAAUAAAAAAAUCCCUCUCCCCAGCCAGGUGGCAUCUGCAGGUCCCUGGAGCCGAGAGCUUCUGGAGACGGCGCUGGCUGGUUCUGGGUGAGGGGAGGAAGCUCCGGGUGACUCUGACUCACCGCUCCGCAAGAUUAAUUGCCGGGCGUUGCAGGAGGUUUAUCACUGCCACCCGCGCUCGCCGCGGCUGCGGCUCCUGCUGCCCGGGGAGCCGGGGCGAGGAGGGGCUGCUGGCACCGGGCUGUGCCGCUGGAGCCGCCGUGUCCCUGCCAGGGGAGGCGAUGCUGGAUAUCUGCUCCCGCACGCCCCGGGAGCAGCCCUAAGCUCUGCUCAGAUGCCCCAGGGUGCAGGGGGUGCUUUUUCUGUCUCCUGAACGGGUCACACCAUUCUGUGCCUCAGUUUCCAGCCCCGCAGGGCAGCUGUGUUUGAGCUGGGCUCUCCUGCCACUCUUGGUUCCUGUUUUGGAGCUGUUCUGCCUUGUGGAGAGGCCCACCUUGGGAAACUGGUGGCAAAUCCAGGGCCUAUCCAGACUUCCCCUCCAUCCUGAUGUCCUCAGCACUGACAAGCUCAGCAACUGUGAUGAACAAAAUCUUUUGCAUAAUCAAUAAUUAAUGUCUGGGGUUUCCAAGCAGCUAAUUAAUCUCCUGGUGAAUCGUGGAAAAAAAUGUUUAGGGGAAAUGUAGGUGUUUUCAAGCCAGGUGAGCAAAGGUUCACGCUCAGCCCAGGCUCUUCUGUUAACCCAUAUCCAUCCCUGGAGAGCUUCUAGCUCCAAGUGAUGCUGUUCAUUGCCAGAGUGUGGACAAUAUUGAUCAUAAAUAUUUGCCUAAUGAGAUCAUAUCUGCUUUCCAGCAUAUGCAGUGAGUGACCUCAAAAGGCCUGGUGUCCUUUGGGUGAGCUCCCAACGAGCUUAAUUGUCUAUCUGAGUCUUGCAGCUCUGGAGGUGACCUGCACUGGGCUGUGUGGAGGGGUCAGGUCAGUCCCAGCAAUGCUGGGAGUUCUGGAGGCAGGGAACAGAACUUGCUGGGCCAAUCCGAGCCUCCCAGCCCAGUGCUCCCACCCAAAAGCUGGGAAAUGCAGCACAUAAACAAUUCAGGUUCCAAUUCAGGUUCCUUGCCUUAGGCAAAGAUUUGAGAGGAUUACUCUGGUCACUGGUUGCAGAUUUAGGGAAUAUCACAGGCUUCAUCCACCCCAUUCCCCAGUAAAUUCUGACCUGGGAAACCUCUGCUAGGUUCUCUAGAAGCUUCAGCAGCAGUUGUUCUCAGGCAUGGCAGCUCUGGGCAAAGGCUUUGACCCAAUUUCAGGCAACCUGAAGAGUUGAAAAGUCCUCAAAGCAGCGAUUUCUCUCUGUGACUUUCAGGAAGCUGUGUUGUCCUCCCCUGCUGGAGACCUCCCUGUGAGCUGUGGUAGAUCAGUCCCAAGGCAGAUUUGCAGCCACAGCUCUUCGCUGGUGACCAGGAACAGAGCUUUGCAGCCUCCCAUCAGGCCCCUGACAAAUUUGCCUGAACACUGGUCAGGUCCAGGCUUGCUGCAGUCCGUUUCUGUGUGAGCAGGCCAUGAAUUCGUUCUCCCCAGCUCUGGCUCUUCAGCUGGUCCCAGAAUAGCCAAGUCAGUGACUCGUGGCUCAUUUUGAACGAUUGCCAAGCAGCUGCAGCUGUCCUUGACUUUAUCUCUGCUCCAGUGUGGCUUUGCCCAGCUCCACAAGUUCACACUAGGAGACUCCACUCCCCCUUCCCAGAAUAGAAGACAUCCAGGGCCCAGUGUCAGCAAGUUUAGCAGCUGUGGGAAGUGUUAUCCUUUGAGCAAUCAGUAAUUAGCCCAGUUGAAAGGCCAGAGUCCUUGUGGCUAAUGAGUAGCUUGAGAUGAGACCUACAAUCUCCUGACCCUCUUUAAGUCUCCUGGUGGCUUCCAAAGACUUCCUGGAUUGCUCUCACCUUUAUGCCAGCUCCCAGUGGCCUUCUGUCAUGGGAGCUGUUCCUCUCCAGCAGACCCAAAGCUCAUGGUCACUCUUGCCUGGUCAUCUCUGGCUAUGUCCUGUUCCUCCCCACUCCACCUGCCCUCCACACUGCUCUUAACCUCCCAUUUCCAUCACACCUUCUAUAUCCCUGCUCACCUCCAGUCUCCAGCCUACCUGUCCACAGCUGCCACAUCUGGAACUGCUGUCUCUGUGACCAGGGCUGGCCUUGGUCAGUGCUGCUUGAGGAGACACUGCAGGGACACUGCUGGAGGCAGGGGGAAGAUGGUUGAUGAUGGUUGAUGGUGGUGAUUCCAGAUCUGCUCCUGAUGGAUGGAGCAGCAUUGAUGGUGGUGAUACCAAAUCUGCUCCUGAUGGAUGGAGCAGGGUUGAUGGUGGUGAUACCAGAUCUGCUCCUGAUGGAUGGAGCUACCUCCUGUGCCUCCAGCCUCUCUUCAUCUUGCUGUCAACCUGGAAAAAGAUGUAGCUCACCUCCUGGAGAGCUCACCUUGACCAUGGGAACAUUGAUUUUUGGGUUUUGCUCAUGCCGAGGGUCUGUGAAAUCAGCACAGGGCAGAAGCUUCAGCCAGGGGAAGAGGCUGAUCCAGCAGCAAUUGCUUCUCUGUGCAGAUACUUUGUGCAUUCAGGCCCUGGUUCCUCAGGAGCAGCAUGGAAAAUGAAGGCACUGUGGGAUUAAUGGAUUUACCUGAGACCUCUGGAGCCUCCUUUUCCCUUGUUUUACCUGUUAAGUACCUCUGCUUCCCUGCCUUGCAAACAGCAGCUUCUUUUCCUUCAGAGGUGUUCCAGGCUGGGAAUAUUCACAGCCCUGUGUUAUCUGCUGUCAGCAAAGAGAUGGGAACAUCUUGGACUGAAGUAGUUCCUCCCCUUUCCAGGAUGAUGAGAACAGCAGUGGGAGAUUUAUCCUUGAUCUCAAAUCCUUGAGACUUACCCCUAUCCCUUGAGAAGGGAAAGAUUCAGAGUGACCUAAAGCAGCAGUGCAGUACCUGUGAGGAGCUGUUGGAGAAGACAGCCAGACUCUUCAGAGCAGUGUGUGGUGAGAGGAAGAGAGACAACAGGUAUGAGGUAAGUUAAGAGAAGCUCAGGCUGGUGAUAAAGACACUUUUUUUCCAUGAAGGCAGCCAGUCAUCAGCAGCUUGCCCAGGAAAGCUGCACUGUCUCCAUCCUCUGAGGUUUUCAAGCCCUACUGGACAAUGAGAUCUGGCAGCUGACCUUGCUUGGAGCACAAAGUUGAACCAGAGACCUGCUGAGGUCCCCUGUGACCUGGGAAAUUCUGCCACUUUAUGUUGAGGUCAGCAUUCCAGGACUGCUCCGCCUCCUCACACAAUGAACCCCAAAGGAGUUUUUGGGUUCCUGAAGGCUGGAAGAAGGUGGCUGUGCCAUGUCAAAGACCAUGGAUCACCGGGCACUGGCUUCAUCAUCAAUAAUUAAUGUCUGGGGUCUCCAAGCAGCUAAUUAAUCUCCUGGUGAAUAGUGAAAAAAAUCUUUAGGAGAAAUGUGGGUGUUUUCAAGCCAGGUGAGCAUAGAAGCACUGCCUUCACAGAAUGAUAAAAUAAAAUCCUGGCAUGGUUGGGGUUGGAA